rnacentral:rRNA from 1 species
GACGAACGCUGGCGGCGUGCUUAACACAUGCAAGUCGAACGGAAAGGCCCUGCUUUUGUGGGGUGCUCGAGUGGCGAACGGGUGAGUAACACGUGAGUAACCUGCCCUUGAGCUUGGGAUAACUUCAGGAAACUGGGGCUAAUACCGGAUAGGAGCUCCUGCUGCAUGGUGGGGGUUGGAAAGUUUCGGCGGUUGGGGAUGGACUCGCGGCUUAUCAGCUUGUUGGUGGGGUAGUGGCUUACCAAGGCUUUGACGGGUAGCCGGCCUGAGAGGGUGACCGGCCACAUUGGGACUGAGAUACGGCCCAGACUCCUACGGGAGGCAGCAGUGGGGAAUAUUGCACAAUGGGCGGAAGCCUGAUGCAGCAACGCCGCGUGCGGGAUGACGGCCUUCGGGUUGUAAACCGCUUUCGCCUGUGACGAAGCGUGAGUGACGGUAAUGGGUAAAGAAGCACCGGCUAACUACGUG